rnacentral:lncRNA from 1 species
AUGGCAGCGGGCGGAACGAAGGGAGGGUUGGAGGAGCCUGCGCAGAGCGAGCAAGUUGGGAGUCUUGAGCGACAGGCCCUCCAGAGGACAGCACAGCGUGCGAGCUCGGGCACUGGUGAUUUAGGAUCCAAUCCAGCAGGAGGGCCUUCCUUCCAUCCCCCAGUAUGGGGCAGCUGCCGAUGUUCCCAUCAUCCCAGCAUCAUCCAUAACUUCAAGUGAUGUUUCAUCUCGUCAGCUGUGUUCAUGAGACUCCAUAACCUGUUACAGAAACAGCCGCUCACACCACUUCCACUGUGGGUGGGGGGUUUCCAUACCAAGCAACUCCCCACAUACCAGUGAAUGAGGAGCUGCUAUUUAAUUCUGAUCCCGGACACUGCAGUUGCUGACUCUGCAAGCUGGGGGACCAGGCCACGACACUGCCUCCAGUUCAGAACCAGUGGCAAUCCUGGGCCUCCCACACUUCAUAGGGGAGCAUCUACAAAUACACUCUCAAGGUUCAUGGAAACCAGGGAGCACUUUCCAUGCGUUUACCUCCUGCCUUAGGAAGUGUGGAGGUGCAGAGGCGAGGUCUCGGAGGAUCCUUAUUGCAGAUGUUGGGGGCAUCCCACUUUCAGCUCAGAAGUUCUUCAAAUCCCUUGUGAUAAGACUUUCACAGUGGUCCUGUUCCAGUGCCUUGAUUAAUAAGUCAGUGACCAUUAACAGGACUCAAUCGCCAGCCCCAUAAACACUCUGAGCCUCACAUGGGUCUGGGAUUCCCAGACUUCUACUCACAGAUGGUUCCCUCUCCAGCCAGUCAGUUCAAGAACCAGUGAAAGGGGGUGCAUUUAACACAGGGACCUCCAAGGCAGCCGGCUGCUGCUGCUGCUGCUGCAUGUCUUUGAUCCUUGCACUUGAUGGUGUUCAAAGCCAGCCUGGUGUAAAGAGUGAGUUCCAGGACAAUCUGAAGUGCUCUAGUGAAUCUCUGGCGAAAAGUUCAUAUGUAAAUCUCUUUCAAGUUCACGUCUUUGUGUGCAUAUAAUUCACUCGUGUUUCGGGAGCUCUUCCUGGAGAGGCAUAGGCUGUCCACCCCUUCCUUUCCUGUUGCUGUUGGUUUUGCCUUAUUUAUUUAUUUAUUUAUUUAUUUAUUUAUUUACUUACUUACUUACUUAGAGACAGGGUUUCUCUGUGUAGCCCUGGCUGUCCUGGAACUCAGUCUUUGCACCAGGCUGGCCUCAAAUUC